rnacentral:tRNA from 1 species
CAGGGAGACAACAAAAUGUUAAAUAUUAAUUUUGUCACCUUAGGUCGAUCGGUAUCUCACAUUCUUAAUUAUUUAAGAAUUUUAUUUCCUAAGUUUUUCUAGGUCACACCCAUUAUUUUUCCUGGGCCAUUAGCUCAGGUGGUUAGAGCGCACCCCUGAUAAGGGUGAGGUCCCUGGUUCAAGUCCAGGAUGGCCCAUAUCUCUAUGUUGGGGGUAUAGCUCAGUUGGUAGAGCGCCUGCUUUGCAAGCAGGAUGUCAGCGGUUCGAGUCCGCUUACCUCCACUGAUUACCACCUCUUCCAUAACUUAUAGAAGGGAAAUUUUUGAGUUGUGAUCAAAUUCUGAACGAAUCUAGCUUCCUAAUUAUCUCAUUAAGAUGCUGGACUCAUUGAAAUUAUUUUCAUUGUUUUCAGAGAACCUUGACAACUGCAUAGAUUAUUUUUAAAGGCAAUAAGCAUCUUUAAUGAUGCAGAUUUAUUAUUUGUGCUAAUGCAUUAAAUAACAAUUCUAUUAAGCUGAUGCUUCAAAAUUUUGAAGUUAUU